GAGGUUCUCGUGGAAGUUUGCUUUGCGUUUGCGCAGAAUGCAUGCAAAAAGUGUUACUAUAUCUUCAACUCUUGCAUACUCACUCUUCCUAUUCACAUCUUCAUUUCUUGCAUAUUCAUCCUAGUUGCUAUUCAUACCUUCCAAAUUACAAAUCCAAGUCUUGAUGGGUUCUACUGUUAAUGAAGAAGAUAGUAACAAACCUCUUCAUAUUGUAAUGCUCCCAUGGCUAGCUAUGGGACAUAUAUACCCUUACUUUGAAGUAGCCAAAAUUCUAGCUUCAAAGGGUCACACUGUCACCUUCAUCAACUCCCCUAAAAACAUUGACCAAAUGCCAAAAACACCCAAAACCAUUGAACCAUUCAUCAAAUUGGUAAGAUUGCCUUUACCACACAUAGAGCAACUCCCACCAGGUGCAGAAAACACUAUGGACAUUCCAAUAAACAUGAACAAAUACCUUGAACUAGCCUAUCAAGGUCUUCAAGAUGAUGUUACUGAGAUUCUCAAAACAUCAAAACCUGAUUGGGUUUUCUAUGAUUAUGGUACUGUUUGGUUAGCACCAAUAGCUAAAAGCCUAAACAUAGCUUCUGUUCAUUACAGCAUAACACCAGCUUGGAACAUAUGUUUUUUUGAUCGACCUAAGGAUCAAAUCAAAACAAAUUUCGAAAUUCAAGACAUAUGUGGCCCACAUAAAUGGCUUCCUUUUCAAACAACUAUUCAUCUCAAACCUUAUGAGCUUAUUAGAGCUUUCACAGCUCUUAGAGAUGAAUCAGGUAACAUGCCUGAUUCUGGUCUCAACAAUGCUUAUUCAAGUUGUGAUCUUUUACUUCUCAGAACCUCGAGAGAGCUUGAAGGUGAAUGGUUGGAUUAUAUCUCUGAACAGUACAAUGUUCCUGUUGUUCCUGUUGGGUUGAUUCCACCUUCUAUGCAGAUAAGAGAUGAUGAAGAGGAAGAGAACAAUCCUGAUUGGGUGAAAAUCAAAGGGUGGUUGGAUUCAAGAGAAUCAUCUUCUGUUGUUUACAUUGGAUUUGGGAGUGAGUUGAAGUUGAGUCAGGAAGAUUUAACUGAGUUGGCUUAUGGAAUUGAGCUUUCUGGGUUGUCUUUCUUUUGGACUUUGAAGAAUCUGAAAGAGGGUACACUUGAAUUACCUGAAGGAUUCGAGGAAAGGACGAAAGAACGCGGAAUUGUUUGGAAGACAUGGGCACCUCAGCUUAAGAUCUUAGCUCAUGGAGCAAUUGGUGGAUGUAUGAGUCAUUGUGGUUCUGGUUCUGUUAUUGAAAAGGUUCAUUUUGGCCAUGUUCUUGUGACACUGCCUUAUUUGCUUGACCAGUGUUUGUUUUCAAGGGCAUUGGUGGAAAAGGAAGUGGCUGUUGAAGUACCAAGGAGUGAGGAAGAUGGGUCUUUUACUAGGGACUCUGUGGCUCACUCAUUGAGGUUGGCAAUUGUGGAUGAGGAAGGAAGUAGUUUCAGGAACAAUGCUAAAGAGUUGGGGAAGGUUUUCAGUUCAAAAGAUAUUCACAAUCAAUAUAUUGAUGACUUUAUUGCUGCUCUUUACAAGUAUAGGGUUCCUUCCAAUUCCAACAACUAAGUAGACUAGUAAUUUUGUAUCAUGUGUUUCCCUUCUUCUCAUAAUCAAUAUAUUUAUUGUGAUUUUUGUUUUGCAAUAAAAGGUUUUAUUUUAGUUUCCUUCUUCUCAGUUUUGUAACAAAAAUGUUAAUUGGCCAUCCUUCUAUAUCUGAUUUGUGAUAUGGCACUUUUUUUUACAAAAAAUUGUAUCUCUAGACUAAUCAUUCUCUUAAUUUCAUAUUGGUGAAAAUUGCUUCAAAGGACUGUAGUUGAUUAUCAAGUAUCAACUUCUGCAUUUGCAUAUCACAAACUUGGCAGCAGAAGUAGACUAGAAUUCAAUUAUGUGGUAUGAAAGUUUUACAUAAAUAAAGAUCAUAAAUGGUAUGCAUGUUUGAACAAAAUAACCAGAUCAUAAACCAAUUUUUUUUUUUUGUCAUUUUGUACACUUGUGACAUUGUGGUUGGCCAAUGUCGUCAGAUGACAUUGACACCCCAAUGUCACCCAAAUGUUUUCCGAAAAUGUGUUGGUGGGUAGAAGAAAUUCUAAUCUCUACCUAUGCUAUUUUGUAUUUAAUUCUUGGAUUCAUGAAUGUAAAAAAAAAAAUAUUACUAAGGAAGAAAAUUUACCUCUUAGUUAGAUGGCAAAAGAUGCUCUUAAUAUUCAACUGAAGUGCAAAUAAGAAAUUCAAGAACAGAUAUAAAUAAAUAAUAUAAAUCAAAACAAGGCACUUUGAAAACGACAACAAAAAAUUUGCUAAACUUUAAAAUUAAAAAAUUCUUAAUUGGCUCCCUCAAAAAAAAAAAAAAAAUUCUUAAUUGGCUCUCUAAACUUUUAAACAAAUUGUAAAUGGUCCCUACCUACAACAUAAUUAGCCCGAAGUUAAACAAGUACAUUGUUCACAAGUCAUAAUUCAACCGUUAAGAAUGUUGAAUUUUUUAGGUCAAACCUCAUGGUUUGAAUCCUGAUUUCUUUACUUAUAUGUGUGUCUAAUAAUUUUCAUUUCGUUUAUGAAAAAUAAAUAUAACCAAGCUAACAUUUAUUAUUAUUUAUUAUUUUGUCUUUCAUUUAUAUUCUUGCAUAAAUUUUGAUGAAGAGUUUUGACACUCAUCUCGGUUCUACCCAAUUAUUAUUAUUAUUGGUGCGUGUAGAUGAUAUCCGAUUCAGACCGCAGACUUGCCUAACCCCUAAAUAAACAAACAAAUGUGUGUCUCCUUGACUUACUCGUGCACAAUUUAGCGGAAUAAAUUAGUAGAUGCGCGUUUCGCAUGCCACUACCAUCCAUUUCUAUUUCUUCCCUAUAAUAAUAUGCCAUCAUCCUUCAAAAAAAGAAUAUGCCAUCUUUUUCAUGUAUUGCAGCAACAACAUUCAUUCAUUCAUGGAUAACAAGAAAAACAAACCUCUUCAUGUUGUCAUGUUUCCAUGGAUAGCCAUGGGACACAUGUACCCAUGUUUUGAGGUUUCCAAGAUUCUUUCACAAAAUGGUCACUUUGUCACACUCAUAUCUACUCCUUCAAUCAUAGAUCGUCUUCCUAAACUCUCACAAACCCUUUCACCAUUUUUUAAUCUCAUCAAACUUCCCUUAUCAUCUUACAUUGACAAAAACCAUCUUCCAACAAAUGCAGAUUCAACCAUGGACAUUCCCUCCAACAAACUCUAUUACCUUAAACUAGCCUAUGAUUCUCUUCAAGAAUCUGUAGCUGAGAUACUCAAAACUUCAAAUCCUGAUUGGGUUUUCUAUGAUUUUGCAGCUAGUUGGUUACCACAGUUAGCAAAAGGUUUGAAUUUGAACAUAUCAUGUUGUUAUUUCAGUCCUUGUCCUGCAUGGAGCAUAUGUUUCUUUGAUACACCAAAAAAACAACUUGGUGAUGAUUCUGCAGCUAUUAGAACAAAUGCAGAAGAUUACUAUGGUCCACCUAAAUGGAUUUCUUUUCCUACAAAGAUUGGUUUAAGGCCUUAUGAGGUAAGAAAAUUGCUUGAAGAUAUCAAAGUUAAUGAAACAGGGGCUUCCCCUGUUUUUGAUCUAAACAGAGCAAAUUCAGAUUGUGACAUGUUUGUUAUUAGAAGCUCAAGAGAUCUUGAAGGAGAAUGGUUAGAUUUUCUUGGUGAGUUUUACAACAAGCCUGUGAUUCCUGUUGGAUUGCUUCCACCAAGAAGAGAUUCUUCUGAUGAGGUAGAAGAUAGUCCUGAUUGGAUUCAAAUCAAAGCAUGGUUAGACACACAAAAGAGUUCAUCUGUUGUUUAUAUUGCAUUUGGGAGUGAGGUGAAAUUGAGCCAAGAAAAUCUCAAUGAAUUAGCUCUUGGGAUUGAGAAUUCUAAAUUACCUUUCUUUUGGGUUUUGAGAGAUUUGAAAAAUGGUUUUGUUGAGUUACCAAAUGGGUUUGAGGAUAGGACAAAAGAUCAUGGUAUAGUGUGGAAAAGUUGGGCCCCACAACCUAAGAUCUUAGGUCAUGGUUCAGUUGGUGGUUGUUUGACUCAUUGUGGUUCAGGUUCAAUGAUAGAAAAUCUUUAUUUUGGACAUGUUCUUGUUAUGUUGCCUUUUUUAUUGGAUCAAGCUUUGUAUUCAAGAGUAAUGCAAGAGAAGAAAGUUGGAAUUGAGAUAGUGAGGAAUGAAGAAGAUGGAUCAUUUACAAGGAAUUCAGUUGCUAAGGCAUUGAGAUUUACCAUGGUUGAUGAAGAGGGAAGUGAUUAUAGGAAGAAUGCUAAAGAGAUAGGGAAGAAAUUUAGUAACAAGGAGCUUCAUAAUCAAUACAUUGAAAACUUCAUUUCUUCACUUCAAAAUCACAAUUCAUAGGAAUGUUUAGAAGUAAUUAAGUAAACAUUCAUUUGAAUUGAAAUAAAAACCUUUGAUUCAACUUGUGGAGAUAGGACAAAAAGGUUGUUAUUUGUUUGUGUGUAGGGCAUAUCUGUUCACUUGCCUCACCUUAAUUCUUUCAGGUCAUUGCCAUUAAUUUCUACAUUUGACCAAUUUGUAAGCAUCAGCCCUUUAGAAAUUCAAUAUACAUAAAUUGGUGGGGUGAAUCAAAUCUAAAAUUUUAGUGUGAUACAAAUUUGUAUUCCUUCCAAUCACAUUUAUAAUCAAAAAACAUUUUCUUAGGUUUAUUGAAUGAAUAGUCAAUGUAUCUGGUCUAUAAAUAUGAUCAGAUACAUAAAUUAUUCAAUGAAUCUAAAAUAUUAUUUUUUAGUUAUAAAUGUGACGGAGGGAGUAAUUUCUUCAUAUAAUAUUCUUGUUGAAUGUGAAACUUAGUCGAUGAUUCGGUUAAUAGUCUUAUUAACGAUUCACUUUUUCUUAAAAUGAUUAAGCCGGUAUAAAUGAAUUUCGUCUCUAUGCUAUGAGAUUUUAACUACUUCAAAGAGUAUUAGUUCUUCAAACGAUUAGGUCAAUAGAAAAGAACUGCGUCAAUGCUACGAGUCCUUUAACUACUUCAAAGAGUAUUAAAUGGGGUAAAUAAUUUUAAGAACUAAAAUGCGAAGAAAAAUAUAAGUAAAAUGUUAGAGGCAUAUAAACAUAAAAUAAGUUGUUUGAUUGAUUGAGUGUGUCGAUGGUAAAAUUUACAAGUGAUAGUUACAAACCAAGAUACUAGAGUCUAUAUGCUAUGAGAUUUUUUUUUUGUGCUAAAAAAAAAAAUUUACAAACCAAGAUACUAGAGUCUAUGUCCUAUCAUCCAUGAUCUUGACCAACUAAAAUAGUGCCCUCAUUUCUCUCAAAAAAAAAAAAAAUAGUGCCCUCAUCGUUACUCGACUAUAUAAACUAUAGUCACAUGAUCGUGUGCAUGCUUCCUAAAAAAAUUGUUGUGGGGAUUAUCCCUUAUUUUCUUAAAUAAAUAAAUUUAAUGACAAGAAGUGGACGAUAUUAAGUCCUCUAAAAAAAUGGACGUUAAGGAUGAAUUAUUGGCAUGCUCUGAGUUAGAACCCUUCUUAUUGCAGCAAUGACUAGAAUGACUCUUUUCAGAGUCAAGUUAAAAUCAAUUUUAACACCUUCAAAACAAUUAUACAUAAGUAAAAAAAUCAAUUUUGACACCUUCAAAAUUGAAACAUACUUGAAGAAUAAGUUUGUGUCUAAAAAACAAUUUUAGAAUCAAGAGAUCUAGAUUCUUGCUUCAAGUUAAAAUUAAUUCUCCAAUUCUAAAUACAAAAUCAAUUUUUCAAAAAGAGUAACCAACAACAACAUCAACAAUCAAGUCUUUUUUCAUUAAGUGGGGUCGGCUACUUCAAAAGAGUAAUCAAAUAUAUCAAAAUCUAUUACUCCCUCCGUCCCUAAUUAUAAGAUCCUUUGGAGAAUUUUUUUUGUCCCUUUUUAUAAGACCCCUUUGUUAUUUCCAACUACAUUAAUUAUUUCUUUACAUACAUGCCCCUAUUUAUUAUACAUCUUUUUCUUCAAUCAGCAAUAAGUAGCAUAUGGAAAACAUAAACUAACUCUCUCUCUUAAGGAUAAAAUUGUAAAAACAAUAGUGAUUACAAACAACUUUAAUACAAAUAUCCGCUUUCUUAAUUCCCGUAAUUUUAGCAAAAGAGUCUUAUAAUUAGGGACGGAGGGAGUAUAAAAUUUAUCCCUAAUAAUCAAACCAAACAUAGUUGAAUAUACUCCAUCCGUUUCAAAAUGAGUGUCACUUUAGCAAAAAAAAAAUUGUUUCAAAAUGAAUGUCACUUUGCAUUUCCAAUACAACUUUAAUUUUUUUCUCCCAAUUUUACCCUCAAUAAAUACUUCAACUUUUCUCUUAAACAAUUUUCAAUGCAACUUUAAGUUUGUCUUUUUCUUGUGCAGUUUAGUAAAAGUGUCAUGGCUAAUGAUUAUUUUAUUCCAUUACUUAAUUUGUGUGCAAUUAACUAAAACGACAUUCAUUUUAAAAAAGAUGGUGUAAAUUUCUUGCGGUCAACAAAGGCCGCAUUCACGACAUUAUUGAUCGUUGGGUCGAGAUUAGAUUUCUAACAAUUUUUUUUUUAUUUUUAAAAAACUACUGAAAUCUAAUAUUUAAUUUCUGCAAUGCUGGAUCUUGAUAUAAUGGUCAUCAAUGUUAGAAUGGUUUUUUAUGACCGCAAGGAAUCCAUAUUUUACAUAGUCACCGUAAUAUUGACUUCAACAACGUUAGAAUUUCUCAGCAAACAGCCAAGCACCACCACGUGACAAGAGAGAAGAACCAACACCAACAGUGAAAGAAUCAAUCCCAAAAGGCCAAAACACAAUCUUCUUUCUAUUUUACACUAAAAUAAUCAUUGCAUGGCUCUCGUGGAAGAGCAUAGCCUCCUCGUGGAAAUAAAAUAACGUUGGAUUGGAUGUGUUUUUUACAAGUAAUAAUAUAUUUGAAUGCGUGUCACACGUGGCAGUGAUUGUUUAUACAAAAAUAACUUUAUAUUAAUUAAAAAAAAUAACUUUAUAUUAAUUAAGACUUCGACUGCUACUAUAUCUUCAACUCUUGCAUACUCUUCCUAAUCAUAUCUUCAACUUUUACAUAUUCUUUCUACUCAUACAUACCAAACAAAUCCAAGUCUCCAUGGGUUCAAUUGCUAAUGAAGAUAGCAACAAACCUCUUCAUAUUGUAAUGCUCCCAUGGCUGGCUAUGGGACACAUAUACCCUUACUUUGAAGUAGCCAAAAUUCUAGCUUCAAAGGGUCACACUGUCACCUUCAUCAACUCCCCUAAAAACAUUGACCAAAUGCCAAAAACACCCAAAACCAUUGAACCAUUCAUUAAAUUGGUAAGAUUGCCUUUACCACACAUAGAGCAACUCCCACCAGGCGCAGAAAACACUAUGGACAUUCAACCAAACAUGAACCGUUUCCUUAAGCAAGCCUAUGAAGGUCUUCAAGAUGAUGUUACUGAGAUUCUCAAAACAUCAAAACCUGAUUGGGUUUUCUAUGAUUUUGCAAGUGGUUGGUUGGCACCAAUAGCUAAAAGCCUCAACAUAGCUGCUGCUCAUUACAACAUAACACCAGCUUGGAACAAAUGUUUCUUUGAUCCACCAAAGGAUCAAGUCAAAACAAAUUUCAAACUUGAAGACAUGUGUGGCCCACCAAAAUGGGUUCCUUUUCAAACAACCAUUCAUCUCAAACCUUAUGAGAUUAUUCGAGCUUUUACAGCUCUUAGAAAUGAAUCAGGUGGAAUAGCUGGUUUUGAUCUCAACAAAGCUUAUUCGAGUUGUGAUCUUUUUCUUCUCAGAACCUCAAGAGAACUUGAAGGUGAAUGGUUGGAUUAUAUCUCUGAACAGUACAAGGUUCCUGUCGUUCCUGUUGGGUUGCUUCCACCAUCUAUGCAGAUAAGAGACGAUGAAGAGGAAGAGAACAAUCCUGAUUGGGUGAAAAUCAAAGGGUGGUUGGAUUCAAGAGAAUCAUCUUCUGUUGUUUACAUUGGAUUUGGGAGUGAGUUGAAGUUGAGUCAGAAUGAUUUAACUGAGUUGGCUCAUGGAAUUGAGCUUUCUGGGUUGUCUUUCUUUUGGGCUUUGAAGAAUCUGAAAGAGGGUACACUUGAAUUACCUGAAGGAUUUGAGGAAAGAACGAAAGAACGCGGAAUUGUUUGGAAGACAUGGGCACCUCAGCUUAAAAUCUUAGCUCAUGGAGCAAUUGGUGGAUGUAUGAGUCACUGUGGUUCUGGUUCUGUUAUUGAGAAGGUUCAUUUCGGCCAUGUUCUUGUGACACUGCCUUAUUUGCUUGACCAAUGUUUGUUUUCAAGGGCAUUGGUGGAAAAGGGAGUGGCUGUUGAGGUACCAAGGAGUGAGGAAGAUGGGUCUUUUACUAGGGACUCUGUGGCUCACUCAUUGAGGUUGGCAAUUGUGGAUGAGGAAGGAAGUAGUUUCAGGAACAAUGCUAAAGAGUUGGGGAAAGUUUUCAGUUCAAAAGAUAUUCAUAAUCAAUAUAUUGAUGAUCUCAUUGCUGCUCUUUACAAGUAUAGGAAUCCUUCCAAU
rnacentral:lncRNA from 1 species